rnacentral:rRNA from 1 species
ACGGGAGGCAGCAGUGGGGGAUAUUGCACAAUGGGGGAAACCCUGAUGUAGCGACGCCGCGUGAGUGAAGAAGUAUUUCGGUAUGUAAAGCUCUAUCAGCAGGGAAGAUAAUGACGGUACCUGACUAAGAAGCACCGGCUAAAUACGUGCCAGCAGCCGCGGUAAUACGUAUGGUGCAAGCGUUAUCCGGAUUUACUGGGUGUAAAGGGAGCGCAGACGGCAUAGCAAGCCAGAUGUGAAAGGUGGGGGCUCAACCCCCAAACUGCAUUUGGAACUGUUAAGCUAGAGUGUCGGAGAGGUAAGUGGAAUUCCUAGUGUAGCGGUGAAAUGCGUAGAUAUUAGGAGGAACACCAGUGGCGAAGGCGGCUUACUGGACGAUAACUGACGUUGAGGCUCGAAAGCGUGGGGAGCAAACAGGAUUAGAUACCCUGGUA